rnacentral:rRNA from 1 species
UACGUAGGGUGCAAGCGUUGUCCGGAAUUAUUGGGCGUAAAGAGCUCGUAGGCGGUCUGUCGCGUCUGCUGUGAAAACUCGGGGCUUAACCCCGGGCCUGCAGUGGGUACGGGCAGACUAGAGUGCGGUAGGGGAGACUGGAAUUCCUGGUGUAGCGGUGAAAUGCGCAGAUAUCAGGAGGAACACCGGUGGCGAAGGCGGGACUCUGGGCCGUAACUGACGCUGAGGAGCGAAAGCGUGGGGAGCGAACAGG